CUUGGGGACGGCAGUCGCCAGUAGUUAGAGCAAUAGUUAGAGGACCAAUUAUGUGAACUAUUCAGAAAAUCACAAAAACAUUGUGAAAUAUUUAGAUUGAAAACACUACAACAUUUGCUGUGGAGAAACAGGACUUUGUGGAUUUAUGAAUGGAAAUGAGAUAAUCUGGAUUCUUACAAGAUAGCAGAAAGUAUGAGCAAUGGUUAGCAUCUGGGCAUGCAGGAAGGAGGAAGCCAGUUUCUGGGACUGAGAGCCUGAGUCCAAGAUCAAACAGGAGAGGAGGGUAGCCAUUCCCUCUGGAUUUCCUCCUAAUUAAUGUUGGGGCCACUUCCAUGAUGCACACCUGUGUCACGCUGUCUUUGCAGCUUCAGCUCUAACAAAGACAUCAGAACAACAAUUUUAUAAAUAACCAAUAAAGUUUUGUCUUAAAUUUUAAAAAUCUAUUUCUAAUGUUUUUGACUUCAUCCUUGC
rnacentral:lncRNA from 1 species